ACGCCGUAAACGAUGAGUACUAGGUGUCGGGGAGAUUCGGUGCCGAACAAAACUAAUUAAGUACUCCGCCUGGGGAUUACGGCCGCAAGGUUGAAACUCAAAGGAAUUGACGGGUACCCGCACAAGCGGUGGAGCAUGUGGUUUAAUUCGAAGCAACCCGAAGAACCUUACCAGGUCUUGACAUACCGGUGACAACUCUAGAGAUAGAGCCUUCCUUCGGGACACCGGAUACAGGUGGUGCAUGGUUGUCGUCAGCUCGUGUCGUGAGAUGUUGGGUUAAGUCCCGCAACGAGCGCAACCCUCGUCUUUUGUUGCUAACAUUCAGUUGAGGACUCAAGAGAGACUGCCAGCGAUAAGCUGGAGGAAGGUGGGGAUGACGUCAAAUCAUCAUGCCCUUUAUGACCUGGGCUACACACGUGCUACAAUGGCUGGAUACAAUGAGAUGCUAACCCGCGAGGAGGAGCCAACCUCAAAAAGACAGUCUCAGUUCGGAUUGAAGUCUGCAACUCGACUUCAUGAAGUCGGAAUCGCUAGUAAUCGCAAAUCAGAAUGUUGCGGUGAAUACGUUCUCGGGUAUUGUACACACCGCCCGUCAAACCACGAGAGUUUGUAACACCCGAAGUCAGUAGGCUAACCGUAAGGAGGCAGCUGCCUAAGGUGGGAUGAAUGAUUGGGGUUAAGUCGUAACAAGGUAACCAAGGGCGAA
rnacentral:rRNA from 1 species